UUAGAGUUUGAUCCUGGCUCAGGAUGAACGCUGGCGGCGUGCCUAAUACAUGCAAGUCGAACGAAUCUCUUCGGAGAUGAGUGGCGAACGGGUGAGUAAUACAUAGGUAACCUGCCCCUGUGCGGGGGAUAACAGGAGGAAACUCCUGCUAAUACCGCAUAGCCAUGAGCACCGCAUGGAGCUCAUGCCAAAUAUCCUUUCGGGGAUAGCGCAGGGAUGGACCUAUGGCGCAUUAGCUUGUUGGCGGGGCAACGGCCCACCAAGGCAACGAUGCGUAGCCGGCCUGAGAGGGCGGACGGCCACAUUGGGACUGAGACACGGCCCAGACUCCUACGGGAGGCAGCAGUAGGGAAUUUUCGGCAAUGGGGGAAACCCUGACCGAGCAACGCCGCGUGAGCGAAGAAGGCCUUCGGGUCGUAAAGCUCUGUUGUAAAGGAAGAACGGCGCAUACAGGAAAUGGUAUGCGAGUGACGGUACUUUACCAGAAAGCCACGGCUAACUACGUGCCAGCAGCCGCGGUAAUACGUAGGUGGCGAGCGUUAUCCGGAAUCAUUGGGCGUAAAGAGGGAGCAGGCGGCCGCAAGGGUCUGUGGUGAAAGACCGAAGCUAAACUUCGGUAAGCCAUGGAAACCGGGCGGCUAGAGUGCGGAAGAGGAUCGUGGAAUUCCAUGUGUAGCGGUGAAAUGCGUAGAUAUAUGGAGGAACACCAGUGGCGAAGGCGACGGUCUGGGCCGCAACUGACGCUCAUUCCCGAAAGCGUGGGGAGCAAAUAGGAUUAGAUACCCUAGUAGUCCACGCCGUAAACGAUGGUCACUAAGUGUCGGGGGUCAAACCCCGGUGCUGCAGUCAACGCAAUAAGUGACCCGCCUGAGUAGUACGUUCGCA
rnacentral:rRNA from 1 species